GGUUGUAGCUCAGUGGUAGAGGGCUUACAUAGCAUGUGUGAGGCCCUGGGUUCAAUCCCCAGCACCA
rnacentral:tRNA from 1 species